GAUGAACGCUGGCGGCGCGCCUAACACAUGCAAGUCGAACGGCACCCCUCUCCGGAGGGAAGCGAGUGGCGAACGGCUGAGUAACACGUGGAGAACCUGCCCCCUCCCCCGGGAUAGCCGCCCGAAAGGACGGGUAAUACCGGAUAACCCGGGGUGCCGCAUGGCACCCCGGCUAAAGCGCCGACGGGAGGGGCUGGCUCCGCGGCCCAUCAGGUAGACGGCGGGGGGACGGCCCACCGUGCCGACAACGGGUAGCCGGGUUGAGAGACCGACCGGCCAGAAUAGGACUGAGACACGGCCCAGACUCCUACGGGAGGCAGCAGUGGGGAGUCUGGCGCAAUGGGGGGAACACUGACGCAGCGACGCCGCGUGCGGGACGGAGGCCUUCGUGUCGUAAACCGCUUUCAGCAGGGAAGAGUCAAGACUGUACCUGCAGAAGAAGCCCCGGCUAACUACGUGCCAGCCGCCGCGGUAA
rnacentral:rRNA from 1 species